AUAAUUAAACAAAAAUAUGCGUAGAAAAAAUAUUAAAGUUUAAAAUAUUAAGGAAAUCACAAAAUGUUGAAAUAAUGUGCAGAAACGGGGGCAUCACAAGUUGUCAGAUGAAACCCUCGAAAGAGGCAAUUAAAGUUCAUCAAUUCAUUGAAUAGUAAACAACACAAUCACACUAAACAAAAUCGCAUCACGACAAAAAAAAGUUGACAAUUGUGAAACUAAGUUAACGCCUUUAAAUUUCUUAUUGCGUGGAUUUUUAAACGUCAAUCAUUGUCAGUUGUGCCAGAAAAAGUGGAGAAGUGGAAGAGAACGCGAACCUCCACCAAGCGAAUGGAUUAUUCAAAGAAGGGAGGAGGCGCUGCAACGCCAACACUUGAUAAGCCGUCUAUUCUGGAAGGUAAUUGAA
rnacentral:sRNA from 1 species